GCUCUCAAGAAGGAGGAAGGGGUAAAAAUGAAUAAGGUUUUCUUAGGUUUGGGACGAUAUCAUAUCGUUGUGCUAUCUCCGUGAGACCCCCUUUUUCAAGACAAUUCUUCGAGGAUAUGGCAAUAUAUGACGUCUCUUUCUACUCAAAAGCCAAGCUUGUUAUAAGCUUCUGCUACUAUACGUCUUAUAUGAAAAUGUAUCCUAUUAUUAUUUACACUAUGUUUAUGGUCCCCUACCUUC